UCAGCAGCCGCGGUAAUACGUAGGGGGCGAGCGUUGUCCGGAUUUAUUGGGCGUAAAGAGCGCGUAGGCGGCUUGCCAAGUCUUGCGUUAAAUACCUCGGCUCAACCGGGGAGGGUCGUGGGAUACUGGUAGGCUAGAGGCCGGUAGGGGGAAGUGGAAUUCCCGGUGUAGUGGUGGAAUGCGUAGAUAUCGGGAGGAACACCAGUGGCGAAGGCGGCUUCCUGGACCGGUCCUGACGCUGAGGCGCGAAAGCGUGGGGAGCGAACUGAAUUAGAUACUCAGGUAGUCCACGCUGUAAACGAUGGGUGCUAGGUGUCGGGGGUAUCGACCCCCCCGGUGCCGAAGUUAACGCAUUAAGCACCCCGCCUGGGGAGUACGGCCGCAAGGCUAAAACUCAAAGGAAUUGACGGGGGCCCGCACAAGC
rnacentral:rRNA from 1 species